rnacentral:rRNA from 1 species
UACGUAGGGUGCAAGCGUUAAUCGGAAUUACUGGGCGUAAAGCGUGCGCAGGCGGUUAUGUAAGACAGGUGUGAAAUCCCCGGGCUUAACCUGGGAACUGCAUUCGAGACUGCAUAGCUAGGGUGCGGAAGAGGGAAGCGGAAUUUCCGGUGUAGCGGUGAAAUGCGUAGAUAUCGGAAGGAACACCAGUGGCGAAAGCGGCUUCCUGGUCCAGCACCGACGUUCAGGCACGAAAGCGUGGGGAGCAAACAGG